rnacentral:rRNA from 1 species
CACGUAGGGCGCAAGCGUUGUCCGGAAUUAUUGGGCGUAAAGAGCUCGUAGGUGGUCUGUUGCGUCCGCUGUGAAAACUCGGGGCUUAACCCCGAGCCUGCAGUGGAUACGGGCAGACUAGAGUUCGGUAGGGGAGUCUGGAAUUCCAGGUGUAGCGGUGAAAUGCGUAGAUAUCUGGAGGAACACCGGUGGCGAAGGCGGCAUCCUGGACCGGCAUUGACGCUGAGGAGCGAAAGCCAGGGGAGCAAACGGG